rnacentral:misc_RNA from 1 species
UAAACUCUUGUUAUCUAUGGAUAUCUGAGCGUCUUAUUUAAUAAGUUAAAACUUUCAACAACGGAUCUCUUGGUUCUGGCAUCGAUGAAGAACGCAGCGAAAUGCGAUAAGUAAUGUGAAUUGCAGAAUUCAGUGAAUCAUCGAAUCUUUGAACGCACAUUGCGCCCAUUAGUAUUCUAUUGGGCAUGCCUGUUCGAGCGUCAUUUUGACCACUUAAGCCUAGCUUAGUGUUGGGAAUCUACGUUUGUAGUUCCUUAAAUCUAGUGGCGGAGCCGCAGUGGCCUCUGAGCGUAGUAAUCUUUUCUCGCUUUGGAAGGUUCUGUAGUUUUUGCCGUUAAACCCCCAA